UUUAAUUGAAGAGUUUGAUCAUGGCUCAGAUUGAACGCUGGCGGCAGGCCUAACACAUGCAAGUCGAACGGUAGCACAGAGAGCUUGCUCUUGGGUGACGAGUGGCGGACGGGUGAGUAAUGUCUGGGAAACUGCCCGAUAGAGGGGGAUAACUACUGGAAACGGUAGCUAAUACCGCAUAACCUCGUAAGAGCAAAGUGGGGGACCUUCGGGCCUCACGCUAUCGGAUGUGCCCAGAUGGGAUUAGCUAGUAGGUGGGGUAAUGGCUCACCUAGGCGACGAUCCCUAGCUGGUCUGAGAGGAUGACCAGCCACACUGGAACUGAGACACGGUCCAGACUCCUACGGGAGGCAGCAGUGGGGAAUAUUGCACAAUGGGCGCAAGCCUGAUGCAGCCAUGCCGCGUGUAUGAAGAAGGCCUUCGGGUUGUAAAGUACUUUCAGCGGGGAGGAAGGCG
rnacentral:rRNA from 1 species